rnacentral:rRNA from 1 species
AUGGCAAAAGAGAUAGUGGAUAAGUGCGAGGGAUGUCAGUUCUACUCGAAUAUGUCGCACAAGCCUGCGUCAGCUUUGAAGACCAUCCCACUUGUCUGGCCUUUUGCAGUUUGGGGGCUGGACAUGGUCGGUCCUUUGAGAACAGGACGAAGCGGUUUCACGCAUGUACUGGUUGCAGUCGACAAGUUCACCAAAUGGAUCGAGGCUAAACCAAUCAAGAGCCUUGACACCGGUACUACUGUUAGCUUCAUCAGGGAACUAAUAUUCAGAUAUGGAGUCCCGCACAACAUCAUUACGGAUAAUGGGUCGAACUUUGACUCAGAGGAAUUCAGAGCUUUCUGCAACUCUCAGGGCACACGGGUCGACUACGCUUCAGUCGCCCAUCCGCAGUCGAAUGGACAAGCAGAACGAGCUAAUGGACAGAUUCUUAAGGGAUUGAAGCCUCGACUGAUCCGUGAUCUCAAACACGCGGCUAGAGCUUGGGUCGAUGAACUUCCCUCUGUACUCUGGGGACUGCGGACUACACCUAAUAGGUCAACCGGAAGAACUCCAUUCUUCUUGGUCUACGGAGCUGAAGCGGUCUUACCAAGUGAUCUUCUGCAUAAUGCUCCCCGAGUCGAAAUCUACAACGAAGCAGAAGCUGAACAAGCGCGGCAGGACGCAGUCGACCUUUUAGAGGAAGAAAGGGAGAUGGCUCUGAUCCGGUCGACCGUCUACCAACAAGAUCUGCGCCGUUUCCACGCCCGAAAUGUGAGAGUUCGAGCCUUCCAGGAAGGAGAUUUGGUUCUUUGA